rnacentral:lncRNA from 1 species
AAAAUUACAGCUGAGAAAUAUUGCAUGCGGUUACAAGAAAAAUUUUGUUGUUUUCUUUAUAGAUUGUGGAAUAAACUCAGUCACUCCAGGGAAGAAUUAUAAUCAUAUACCCACUUGAGCUCAUUGAAGUAAAGGAGGACGUACACACAAAUUCAAAUACAUGGAGGAAACAGGCACCUCUCCUGAAGACCCCCAGCACCUUCUCCUGCCUGUCUGAUCUCAGCAACUCCUUGAAACUCUUUUCUUAUGUCUCCCAAUUGAGUUGUCAGAUAAAAUGCAUGCCACCUAGCUGCAUGUAAAUUUCUGGUAAGUAAUUUUAAAAUAUGAGCAUCAUACUUGAAUUAUUAAUAGUCGACUGCAGUGCUUAUGGUAAAAGUUAUUUGUUUCUCUGAAAUUCAAAUUUAGCUUAGCAACUUCUAUCCUUAUUUGCUAAACCUGGCAACCCUGCUUCCAGUAUACAUAAUUUACGUAUAAUAUGUGCCCCGUGAAUGUUUUUUUGAUUCAUUAAGUGACUGUGUGUGCAGAAUCCGGC